GAUUUCACACUUGUACCGGGCCUCUCUCCUUCUCUCUCUCCCCUUCUCUCCAUCAUUUUUCUUUCGUUUAUUUCUUCCUUUCUCCAAUGUCCUUCCUUUCUUUAAUCAGAUUGAGGUCUUUGGCAGGCUAUUUUGCCAGAGUCCUUCAGGGGACAGCGAGGCCCUGUCCUCACGGAGCAGAGUGGGCAGUGCGGCCACGUGCUGGGCUGUGAACUGUUCUUGGCACCUACUGUGGGGACCAGCAGAGACCCCAGUCCCCAGAGGCUCCAUAUGGGCCUGUUCUGCCUCCAAGUUUAUGUGGGCAGGAUGCUGGGAUCAUGACAGCCUGGCCUUUUCUCCUCAUGCCAGUCUAGUUUUAUUGGUGGGAGAGGAGAGUGUGUGUGUGUGUGUGUGUGUGUGUGUGUGUGUGUGUGUGUGUGUGUGUGUGUUGGGGAAGGGGUGGUGAGCAAGGUCAGAGGAAAAUAAGUCAAUGGGGUCAUCAUUCAUGCAGAACACUUUUUCAACUUAAAUAUUAAUUUUAUCAGAUUUGUCUAAGAUGACAGAGUUUUUGUUUGGGUGAAAGGAGGUUUCAUAUUUCCUAGAUUCAUAAUCCACUUAGGAAAAAGGAGGGGGGAUGCACGGAGUUAGCACAUAUUAAGUGCCUGCUGUAGUCAAGCCCUGUUGGACACCAGGGACAUCUGGACCUUGACAACGGAGCGAAGGGGUGGUCCUGCCUGCACCAGGUUUCAGGUGAGGAGAUUGAGGCCCACAGAGAUCCGGGACUGGCCUCACUUAGCUGGUAAGUGGCUGUGCUGGGACUUAAAUCUAUGUGUCUGGCUACCAACUGCAUGCUGGCCCCAAAUCUCAGACCUCCCCCAUUGUUACUUUUUCGGCUCUCUAAAAAAUCAGCAAUCUUCAUUAACACUGUUUCUGUUAUUUUCUUUCCCUCGUUCUGCUCCUCUCCUCACCCUCCCACCCCAAUGAGAAGAGACCUUUCCCACCUCAGAACCCCAUCUGCACUUCCUUGGUCUACUUCUUCAGUUGAUGAGUCAUCUGAAAUACAGACAUGUCAGAAUCUAAAAAGGACACCAGAAAAGGCCUUGUGGGCACUAAAGGGUCCCAGAGAAACCCCAUGUUGUCAAAUCCCAUGUUUUUCCUCCCAACAGUCAAUUUGGAUUAUAGCUUACUGCAUUUUUGAGAGAGGAGAGCUGAGAUUUGAAUCCACAUCAGACUGUGCUGGAAACAGAAUACAGAGCCCAUCGUAGGAUGUACUUCCCUCUGUAGCCUAGUUUCUGAAAGUGUCAUUAAACAUGUGGGAACCAAAUGCCCCCUGAGUCCCCAUAUUCAAGCCUUUAAAAUUGCAGAUUCUGGUUCAGACAUUUCCUGGAGACUCUGAUAAGAGAUUAUUGUCUUCUUCGUGUCCUAGUGUCAGGGGUCCUGAGCCCAGGAGUCUAGCAGCUGUAACAUGAGGCCAAGUCACAUUCAUCCCUAAAAUAGAGAUAAUAAUGUCCCUUGCCCACUCACCCACUUCACAAUUUGCAGAGAUGUUGCAAUUAGAGAAUGCAUGUGAGUGUGCUGCUUUGAAAGCUGGCAAACGCGACAAGACUGCUAGUCACUAGUGCUGAUGUUUUCAUCCUUAGUGAGGAUGUGAGAGAGGGCUCAGGAAGGCCAGGUGACAUGUACAAGGUCACACAGCAAGUAAGUGGUUGAAAUAAAGUCACAAUAGCCCUGUGUCCCUCAGCAAGGGGCUGAAAAGAAAUUACAGAGCCAGUGGGAAGGCUCGGGUGCUGAGCUUUAGCAGUGCUAGGCUGAGCUCAGCCCAGAAAUGGGGACACUGAUUUGGGACGAAUCCCAUCGCUCUCCCCAGCUGACCCUCCCUGCAUCUUGGUCCCAGUGGCUUCUCAGGCUUCUCUGCAGCAUGGGUGUUCCUGCCUUGGCCAGAGCCGAAAUCCCAGAGCAGUGAAAGAGGAGCCAGUGUCAUGGGGCUUCUGGUUUCAGGACACACUGGAAAGGUGAGAAGGAAGCUUGUCUUCCCAUGGAUCUGGGCCAGGCCUGGGUGGCGGGGCCUCCCCGCCAGGAGCUGGGACGUUCCCCAGGUGCCCGGGCAUCCCCAGGUCAGGAGGGCCGCCAGCAGUUUUUCAAAGCAUUAGCUUGGUCAAAAAAUAAAUCAUUAGGCACUUUGCGGAGACCAGAUGCUUUGUCAGUGCAGGCAAAACCUGACCCAGAAUCUGCAGCCUGGGAAGGCCUUAUGCUCACCUGGCUUAGGGGCCAGUUUGGGGAAAAGAGGCCCCUGCUCUUUGUACCUGCUUCUUGGAGGACUUGAUGAGAAGACCUACACACCUUGACCUCCAUGACUUUGACCUUCACACCUUGGCCACGCCCUUCUCACCACUACUACCCAUCAGCCACCAGCCACCAGCCACCACUCCACCUCUCUACCCCCAACCCUCAUCAGACUGUCACCUACUUUCAAGGUUCAGAUAUUGCUCCCUAUGUGAAAUCUUGUCUGGCCCUCUUUCUCCCAGUCAGGAAUAAUUCACCCCUCCUCUCUUCUCUGUGUCCUUAGUGUUCUCUGUGAACGUGGUAGCCGUCUCAGACCAGUCUGUGCUGGAGUUAUCCUGGCACCCAGCCUACAAUCAGAGGAAAUAUGCGGUUCAUCCAUGGAAUUUGAGUCAGGCCUAGUUUUCACCUCUUCUGAGGGUGGAGCAGGGCCUCUGGGCUGGAGGGAUACAGACAGUGUAGAAGAUGCUACGGUGUCCCACCAGCUCCCCUUUUAAGGACCAAUGCACACCCCCUGCCCCCAGCUGCUAAAUGUCACCUGUUUGCCUGCUAAUGACUCAAUGAUGCCCCCCUUCUCCAGAGAAUGGCUCUCAGAAGACAGAAGCUGCAUCUCCACGAGAUUACAACUUUCUCCCCAUACCUGCUCCCCAAUCACUGCCACCACAGGCAAUGACUAAGUGACACAGAAAUGCAAAAGGGCAGUUCCCUCCCCUCAGGAAGGGACACCUCUGCGGUAUGCUUUAGGCUCCAGAGAGUCAGUCCACUUCUACCCCCUCUCCAAGGAUCAGGCCAAGGCUGGCUUUCCCUGAGAUCACAGUUUAUGAUGACCAGCCUGAAUUUCAGUUUUACACUGAAAUUCCCGUAUCCCAUCAGUUUUGGGCAAAUGGGGCUGAUUGACUAGCUUAGACUGGGUUACCAGAUUUAGCAAAUAAAAAUACAAGAUACCCGGCUGUAUUUGCAUUUCAAAUAAACUAAGGAUACGUUUUGAGUAUAAGUAGGCCUCAUGCAAGACUUGCAACAUACUUAUAGUAAGAAAUUACUCAUUGUUCAUCUGAAAUGCAAAUUGACCUGGGCAUCCUGUAUUUUAUCUGGUAGCCUGGCCCUUGACCACGCCUGUGUUUGUCUCUCUCCCUGCUCCUAUCCUGCUUCCUUUCCUCUCUCCCUUGCAGGUUUUUCCUGAAGAACACUCCCCCAGUAAAUCACGUGUACCUAAAUCCUUGCCUCAGGCUCUGCUUCUAGGGAAUCUGAUCUAAGACUGUCAUUUGUCCCUCUCUGCUGUCUAAGGUGGCCAGAGAAGUCCUUUCAUUUCCCCUGAACCUUGCAGAAACUCUUUUUGUUCAGACUUCGCCUGGUCCACCUUGGCUAGAGUGAAGGAAAUCAUGACACCAAUUGUCACCAGCUGAGUCCCCCACGUCCUCACAACAGCCCUGAGUGGUGGCUACAAUUCUUAGAUCCAUUUUUAGAUGAGGAAACUGAGGCAAGAGAGAUGCAAUAGCUUACCUGGCUGCACAGAAAGUGGCAGAGCCUCAAUACAGAACCAUAUUUCCUGCCUCUUAGACUCCUGCUUCAUAGGUGCCUCCCAGGGAAUUCAGGAGAGACACAAAAGCAAGGCUUUAGCUUUGCUUAUCUACCCCCUCCUGGCCCCUGCAGCAUUUGGACUUCAAGUUUUGACCUUGUCUCUUGGAUGGGGGCCCUAGGAUGGGGCCAUUCUAGGUAAGCUCUCUGGGUGACCCAGGGGGCUAGCCACUAACUUCACAUUUGUGAAGAACUGGCUUCCCAGAAACCACAGGAAAAUGGGGGUAUCCAGAAAUCCAUGUGGCCACAGCCCCCUUUAGGAAAACUCUAUUUUCAUUGAUCCAUGACAGAUCUAGGUUCGUGGCUUAGGGUCUGAGCUUUGAUUUAACCAGGAACAUGAGAACUAGAUUGACUUCUGGGGACCAUCCAGCUAUGGCCCAGUGGGAUUUGAAGUUUCCAUAGACCUGACAUUCAUGUUUAGUUAAGUACUUAACCUGGUACCUGGCACAAGGUAGAGCUCACCUAACAGUGGCUGUAAGUAGUAGUAUUUCUUAUAAGCAAUAGUAAUAAGAACAUCUGAUUCCCCAGAUAACAUGAGAGUGAUAAGAAUAUGUCCUGCAGUGCACUCAACUAAACAGACUUCAGCUCAAAGCCAUCCAAAGAUGGAAUGAGUUGCCUCAGAAGGCAGUGAGCUUUCUGUCACUCACAGGAAAGAAAAGGGAAGGAAUUUGUUUAUCUACCUGCCAGUGGGAGAUAAUUUCCAUCCGUUACUUCUUUUAAUCAAAUGCUGAGAUGUUCCAGAAAAGGCUGGAUGAUAGCUUGUGAUGGUGUGCCAGCUUCUGAGGGGCUGAACAAGAAACAUGGAGAAGUCCUCCCAGACCUGAGACUCCAGGAGUCUUAGAAAAUGCUGACAUCCCACAUUUAUGAUAAGACCAGUGGCCACUCUCGUGUCCAGAAAUCUGGCAAAUUGUUCCAGAAUAAUGUCACAGGCUCCAGCCCUACACUUUUCAGAACUGUCCACACACUCAGACCAAUUAGAGACCUGGCUUGUGCCCCUGAGUUGGGGGGCGGGGAUAGACACUUACCUAUGGGCCCUCAAAAUCCUCCUGACCCGCAAGUUCCCCAGCAUGGGAGACUGCACCAGGCCCUCUUUCUUCCUGUCUGUCACCACACUGUGCCUCCCCUCUUCUUGAGCAGCUCAGCUCAGCCACGGACUGAGUCAGGCAUGCUCAGUUGCCAGCCCUACGGCAGCCCGGCUGAAGGAAAUGGCUUUCUGCUCCCCCUCCCACAGCUGUCAAAAGGAUACCCCAGAGUCCUCAUUACACACACACACACACACACACACACACACACACACACACACGCCCUUACGGAAUCUUUGCCCACAAUCACAAAAUCACAGGGCUGAAAGAGACGGCAAGUACCUAGCAGAUUUGUUAAGUCCAGGCCUGUCAAGAACUUCCCUACCAGAAGCCUCCAUCCACACACCUUCACAGUGGAGAGCUCACCCCCAGCUGGUGUCACCCUUCCCAGCGGUGAACUCUUUGGCCAUUAGAAGGUGCUUCUCGUAUCCAGGUGCCAGGCAUCCAGGUAUCAGGUGACUUCUUCUGGCUUCCUCUCAUUGGUCCUAGUGUUUUCAGGAAUAGCACAAGAGUCCAAUCUUGUUGGAAGGUGUUGUACAAAGAGGUGCAAGAAGAUACAUGGGAGGAAGUAGUGAGAGAUGAAGUCAGAGAUAGUGAGAAACGUCAGAGAGAGAACUGGCAGGGAUGUACACAGUCUAAAAGGGACUUGUAUCCUGCAUGCUGACAAUUUUUCCAUUGUGCUUUUUUUUAAAAUUCUGUUGCUCUUCAGCUGUGUGGAAAACAUGUCCACCCCAAAUAACUUACUCUCUGAGAACUGCAGAAAAAACAAAAGUAUUGUAUUACCUAUUGCACUGAUGAGAAAAGGGUGAUCAGGAAGGGAGAAGACUCAAAACUGUGUCACAUGGAAAAGAGUUGAAAGAACUGGGUCUCUAGCCAGAAGAAGGGAUUUGGCUGGUAAAGUGGUUGCCUCUGACAAUCCUUCCUGGGGAAAAAGGAUUGCACCAAUUCUAAACAGAACAAAGAAUUGGACUUAGGACCAAAGGGUAAACCACCAGAGUGACCAAAAGCUUUCUACUAGACAGAGCUGUCUAACAGUUGUUAAGAUGGUGAGAAGUCCCUGUCACUGAAGGUGUCCAAGCAGUGGGGGCACUUGAUAUUUUGUGUCUGACAGUUCAUGAGUUUUCUUUUAAUGCAUGCACAUCACCACCACCACCCCUAACACACACACACACACACACACACACACACACACUGAAGCCUGGCUGUAUAAAGGCAGGUGAGGCACACCAGUGUGGGGCGUGCAUCUCUCACUUGGCUUAGCUUUGGUCCCCCAGAGAUUUUCCCAUUGCAGACUUGCUUGUCAGCAAGAAAUAAAAGCCUUUCCUCUCUCCUUGGGAGGAGCAGAGCAGAUUGUCUGGAUCUGCUGCGUACUGCCCUGGCUCUGGUCUCAGCACAAACGCGUUCCUUCUGCUCAGUCUGUUCCCGUUUUGACAAUGCAGAGGGGAGAGCUGGAGAAAGUCCCGCAGCCCAGAGUCCUGGCAGUGGAGGGCGGGGCUUUGCUGUUGGACCCGACGGAUCACAUUUGUAUUCAAGAAAGACUAGGUGGAGCCCCUUGCUCCCAACACAGGCAGAAAGGUUGGCUGGGAUUGGUGCCCAUCCUCAGGCAUCUUUUGAAGAGAAAGUGCUACCUGCUGCUAUCCUUUCAGUGUUUUCUCAAAGGCAGAGCCUGAAAAAGGUUUUCGCAGGAGGAAACUUCUCUAAACCUCUCUAGCAUCCUGGAGAUUAAAAUAAGUUAUUUUUUUCUCUGCAAAAGAGAUGAGGUGCUCUGAUACCUGAGGGUGGAGUACUGGACCCUUUACAUGAUUAAGAUCCAGAAAAUAUGCUUUUUGCCUACAGCAUUGUAUGUCCCGUGACCAGCCAGUAGUGAUCCAUUAAACAAUGUUACUCAAGGUGGAUUCACUAAGCACCCACUCUGUGCUAGGCCAUACUUCCCAGGCACUGGGGAGCAAAGGUGAGAAAGAUCCAGGACUUACCCUCAAGAAGCUUAUAGUCCAGUGGGAGAGACCAUCACAAGCAAAAAGAAAAAUUAAAUCCAUGCACUCAGGGCUCCAGGAGAACUUUGCUGUGAGUGCACUAGCUGUCCGGGAGCAUCUGGGGUGGCGUCUGCAAGGAAGGGAUGCUUCGGAUGAGUUUUCAAGGAUACACAGGAUUUUAUGAAGUGGCAAAGGCAGGAGUGGGAAGGGAUCUGUGCAUGCAAAGUUCUGGGAAAGAUGUGGAAAAGUUUUGUUUAUUUAAGGAACUAUGAGAACUUUGACGUGACCAGAGGAGCUACCAUGCAGGCAGGGAAGUGCAAAGGAUGAAUCUAGAGCAGAGGUUUUAACCAGGGACAGUUUUGUACCCCAGGGACACUUGUUUGUCACAAAGAGAGGAGCAGCAGUGCUACUAACAUCUAUAGCGCAGAGGCCAGGAAUGCUGCUAAACAUCCUACCAUACUACCGUGUGGACAGCUCCCACAACACCAUGAUCUGGUCCACAACGUCAAUACUGCUGAGACAGAGAAACCCUGAGCAUGGUAGGGUGUUUAGGAGUAUCCCUGGCCUCUCUGCCCACUACAGAGAAGCAGCAGCCACACCACGAAAAAAUGGAGUUCUGUUAGGGGCACUGUGCUUUCUGAGGGUCACACAGAGAAGGCAUCCAGGGGAAGGAAGCCAGGGGAGAGUUGAGCUUUCAGAUUCUGCAAUCUGGAGUCCUCUAUAGCUGUGUUUCAGCUAGCCCUCCCAGCUUUAUUUUCUGUACAUGUUUGAUAAGCCUGCAUCCAGUAUCUGCCUCCAAAUUGUUGACAAAAAUGUUAAAUGCAAAAAUUUCAGGGCAAAUAAUGACUUAGACUCAAAUAAUGCCAUUCAGUUUAUGGGCAUUUUGCAUCCUUCAUCUCAUUUAUAUUCAUUUUACAAAACAGAAAAAUGAAGCUGGGAGAUGUUCUGCAAUCUAGGAAUUAUUUAACUAUAACACGUUCAGCUCCCAUCUCUUCUCCUAGGCUGGUCCCUGAGUGCUCCAAGGACCCAUGCAUCUGACCAUAGGGGAUGCUGGGAGUAUCCUCCAUCCUGGCCUGAAAGAGCUCCCUUUCAGCUUCCUGGAUUCAUAUCUGUGUGAGUGGCUAAGGGCAGGUUCCCUGGUCUCCCUCUGCCCCUAGCUGUGACACUCACAUACCCGUCUGACUACAGGGGACUCUCUCCCUCCCUGAGGCUGAAUUGGUAAGAGGACCUCUCAUGGAUAGCAGGCAGGGACAGCUGCUCAGCUCAUGUUUUCUGGCCAAGAAGCAUUACUGACCCUGUGAUUUGGCACUUCAUCCAAACUGGCAGAUGGGUACAGGUGCCUUGCCGUGAUGCUGCUUCCUCUCCACCAAGCAUGCCUGACCAUUAAAUCACCCAGCAGAGGACAGCACCAGUCAGCUGAGGGGUGGGCUCUUUUCAAGUGGAACCCCAAAAUACUGCUAAUCUGAAAUGUCACUGUUCUCAGGGACAGCACGAAUGAACCAUGCCAAGUCACACACUGCAGAAACACUCUCAAUAAUCAACACUAGGUGUUCUAACAGUUUGUUCAAGCCUGUUCAUCUGUGGUUUAGAAGUUUAUAACAUGACAAUCUUUUACUCCAAUAGCUUUCUGAAAACUGACUUCCCAUAUUCCCAAAGCCAUCGCCAGCUCCCAGCUUUGUCAUUCAGGAAAAAGAGUAUGCACCUCCCCUUCAUCCUCCUCAUCUCUCACCAUCAUUAAGUACAAGCCCAAGGAGAAGAAUCAAGGGCAAUGAAUCUUCAUCAAACAAUAAAAUCCUGCCUGGUACCAGACCUACCUGUGCCAUCCAAGCACUGCCUGCCCUGUCCCUCCAUUAAACAUCUUACCCUUGCUGCUGGUGGCUCCCGGGGCACUGUCCUUUCCGUGGCUCCUCCUCCCACCGGCAUGGCCCAGCGGCUCUCUCCUGCUGCUCUGGCUCCGUCCCUCUCCAAUAACAUUGCUCCUUCUCUGGCAGGGUCCAGCCACUUUGUCACAAGCUACAUCUAUGGCGAGCAACGACUCCCGGCUGCAGGGUGAGACAGAUAAGAGGAUAAGAGGGAGCAGGAGCAGACGGAGAAAGAAGGUGGCAAGACAGAGCAGGCGAGAGAUAGUGGUGGCUAAGUCUAGGGUGCUGAUUAUGGAGUAAAGGGAAAAGGAGGCAUGAAAGCUGAGCCCGUGUUGAAAAGAAUGUCAAAGGGAGCUCAAGCACUGGGCGGGGUGAGGGCAGAAGAGGGGUCCUUUCCAACCCUGGCACCUUUAAACUGUACAGGGGCUACCCUGGCUUGGAGCCAUGCCAUGCCUCUGAUCCUAGGGAGUAAGAAUCUCUUUUUGGGGGUGCAGGGCAACAGCACCCAUUUCUCCAUGAGCCACGUGCUUGCGUUUUCCAGUGGGAUGCUCUCCAGGGUCAUCUGGGUCCUCUUGCCUUGUGCUUGUUCAUCACCUGAGCAUGAUUCUUGCCUGCUCAGCAGGGCGGUAGGGGGUUGUGAGCUCACAGCCCAGAAGCUUGACCCCUGUGGGGGCUCGGCAUUGGUCCCUGGGACUCUGUGGCAGUGAGGCAGCCACACAGUGUCGAGUGGCUACUCUGUAUGAGGGGAUUUCUAAAAAUACAUCUGUCCUGCUUCUCAUGGGGCUCAUGAGUGCCAGGCAGAUGGGACAGGCAUGUACAACCUGCUCCCUCCUCACUGUCCCCACCACCGUCCUUCUAGUUCGGGUUGCCGCCUCUUCUCACCCAGACUAUUCCACCAGCCACCUGCCUGCUCUCCCUUUCCCCGUGGCCUACCAGGUAUUAUAGUUACUAAAAACACAGGAUCCUGUUGGGAGACCACACCUCAGCUAAAGCCUAUUCUCUCAUUCAUUCAUUCACUCACUCAUUCAUUCAAUCCUCAGCAUGCACCUCAUAUACAUUUAACGUGCCAAUGUGGCAUGCUUUUUCGAGGCCAGGCUUGUGGCAGAUGCUACAGAUUGGGUGAGUGAAGCCAGACACAAAAGGACAUAGUGUAUGAAUCCAUGUGUGCAAUGCUCGGGAAUAGGCAGAUGUAAUCUACAACAAUGGAAGUCACAAGACUGAUGACUUCUUGGAGGUGGCGUGUAGCUAUUGACUGAGGAAGGGCAGGGUGGGCUCUCUGGGGUCUGGCAAUGCUCUAUAUUGUGAUCUGAGUGACGUUCUCAAGGGUGUAACAAAUUGAAAAUGUACUGAGCUGCACACUUGAGAACUGUGCCUUUUACUAUAGUAUGUUAGAACUCAUUAUCUUUUUAAAUGUAUAUAAAACAUAAUUCUGGUUUUGCUUUUUGGAACUAUACACAUAUCCAUGACUCAAGAAUCAAGGAGAAAACUAUUAAUACUCUAACAGUGCUUGUCUCUAAUUGGUAAGAUUAUGGUAAACUUAAUUUCCUUGUUGAUACUUUUCUGGAUUUCCCAAAUAUUCUACACUGAAUAGAUCUUGCUUAAGUAAUGAGAUUAAAUAUAUUAAAUGUUAUUUUAAAAGUAAGAGCCCUCGAGGUGAGACAAUCAGCAAGCACGAGGCAGGUGGCUGUCUUCCCAGAGGGGCCAAGCCCACUCACGAGCUUUUGUCCUCUUAGGCAGCAAGGACACCAGCUUAGGAGUCAUGUUCCAGGUCUGUGAGAUUUCAGUUCAGCUAAAUAAAGCUCUUGGCCCGCUGUGGGUGGUGAGGUGGGGCUGCUGGUGGAACCCUCGGGGUUUUCCUCUCAUUGCUGAGGGGAAGGAGGCUCCAGGGCUUUCAGAGGCUUGCCAGGCCCAUUCUUACCCUGGCAGCCGUUUAGACUAGCCUGACUCAGAGUCCCAUGCACUUCUAACCUCUUAGACUUGGGACUUUGAGCCCCAGCCUGCCUGGAGUUCUCUCUUAUGGAGUGGGGAUAAUUUCAGGAUCCUCGCCACAUCCCUUCAGCAGGAAGGACCUGCCCUAUGCAGUUUGGGGACACAGAGAGAUAGAGUGAGCUGAUGGC
rnacentral:lncRNA from 1 species